ACGGGAGGCAGCAGUGGGGAAUAUUGCACAAUGGGGGAAACCCUGAUGCAGCGACGCCGCGUGAGUGAAGAAGUAUUUCGGUAUGUAAAGCUCUAUCAGCAGGGAAGAAAAUGACGGUACCUGACUAAGAAGCCCCGGCUAACUACGUGCCAGCAGCCGCGGUAAUACGUAGGGGGCAAGCGUUAUCCGGAUUUACUGGGUGUAAAGGGUGCGUAGACGGUACGCCAAGUCAGAAGUGAAAGCUCGGGGCUCAACCCCGGAACUGCUUUUGAAACUGGCGGACUAGAGUGUCGGAGGGGCAAGUGGAAUUCCUAGUGUAGCGGUGAAAUGCGUAGGUAUUAGGAGGAACACCAGAGGUGAAGGCGGCUUGCUGGACGAUUACUGACGUUGAGGCACGAAAGCGUGGGGAGCAAACAGGAUUAGAUACCCUGGUA
rnacentral:rRNA from 1 species